GGGUUGAUCUGGUGAUAAGAGAUGAUGGGGGUAGGUUAUAUGAUCGAGCAAAGGCAAAUCUGAGCCCCCUCAAAUGCAAUUCUAGUGCUCUUUCAGCAUAAUGUGCUACACUGUUUCUCUUUUUUUAUCUGUAUUUGAAGGUGUCGCUUAUUUAUGCAACUGUGUUUAUAGCUGUCCUGUGUACAUAUUUCUUCCCUUAUACCUUUAUUGCGUAAGUUGUUCUUGCCCUUUUUUCCGUUCUUGCAUCUGUCUGCACUAUAGUACAUCAAGUAUCAACAACAACAACAACACACGGAGCCUUUGUUCCCAAACAAGUUGGGGUAGGCUAGAGGUGAAACCCAUAAGAUCUCGCAACCAACUCAUGGCUCUGGCACAUGGAUAGCAAGCUUCCACGCACCCCUGUCCAUAGCUAGCUCUUUGGUGAUACUCCAAUCCUUCAGGUCUCUCUUAACGGACUCCUUCCAUGUCAAGUAUCAGCCAAGAAAAAUUUGUACUUUGAUGCUACAUAUUCAGUUUUCAACUUAAAUGGAUUGCUGUGGCCCCCAGCAUACUAUAUUUUGUGGUUGCACACAUGCACAGCAAAAUACUCCAAAUCUGCUGUGGUCUAAUGAUGCUCUCAGUAGAUAGCAUAUUCUUGGUUGGUUCACCAGUCAUCAGAUAAUUUUGCAUGUAGGCAUUGCUAUUGAUGAUGUUCCACAAGAUUCUGGAUCCUCCUAACUGCGAAGGAUGUUUGUUUUGUUAGCUUCUUAACUUUCUUUUCCUUGCUAAGCAAGCCUUUGGGGUAAUUCUAUUUUGUUGCUGCCUUCUUUUUACAUAUAGUUUUGCAUCGCUUUGCUCUGCACUCUUCCUGGCAUGCUUAUAACAGAGACCUUUGUCCAUUAGACAUAGUAACUAUUUGAAUAAUCAAAAUUCGCUACCAUUUGGUCACCACCAGAAGUUUUUUAGUUGACAAAACAUGGUCCAGGAAGGUAUUUUGUCUGCUAUAUGUUUUUUGAAAUAGAAUUCUGAUUUGGGGCAAUGAUGAUUGACCAAUGCUGAUAUAAGCAUGCUCUUGAGCAAUCGAGUAAGCUGUGCGUAUUCAGCUGGAUCCUCCCUCGUCUCUUGGAGCCGUUUCAACCAUGACAAGAAUUAUGGAACGGAGGGAGUACUAAGAGCAACUGUUAACAGAUUUGCUAUAUUUUUGGUGGCUGUCCUUGGAAGGUCAUCUUGAUGAGUGAUAACCAGGGCAGCUCCACACUAUAAACGGGUUGAUCUGGUGACAAGAAUGAGGUAGGUUAUAUGAUUGAGCAAAGGCAAAUCUGAGCCCCCUCAAAUGCAAUUCUAGUGCUCUUUCAACAUAAUGUGCUACACUGUUUCUCUUUUUUUAUCUGUAUUUGAAGGUGUUGCUUAUUUAUGCAACUGUGUUUAUAGCUGUCCUGUGUACAUAUUUCUUCCCUCGUACCUUUAUUGCGUAAGUUGUUCUUGCCCUUUUUUUCGUUCUUACAUCUCUCUGCACUAUAGUACAUCAAGUAUCAGCCAAGAAAAAUUUGUACUUUGAUGCUACAUAUUCAGUUUUCAACUUAAAUGGAUUGCUGUGGCCCCCAGCAUACUAUAUUUUGUGGUCGCACACAUGCACAGCAAAAUACUCCAAAUCUGAUGUGGUCUAAUGAUGCUCUAUCAUGUAUUUUAAUAAGCAUGCCUUAGAGCAAGCUUCUAUAUCGCCGCCCUUCUCCACGGAAGCAUAUGUUCAAGUCACAAGCGAGUGUUGGUGGUGCUGUAAUUCGUAUGGUCAAUCAGUGCAACAUGCUCCUCAUAUACUUUUUGGAUGCAACUGAGAGUGCAUGUGCACAUUAAAUGCUGUGAAUCAAAGCUUGUGUGCCUGGUCAGUAAUUUUGAUAUGUGAGCCCUCGAUUGGCUAUGUAUAAUGUGUUGUUCUCUCGCCAUGUAUGUGUUGAGUGUUGGUUAACAAAAUGAUAAUGUUCAGUGAAAUUUUUCAAUAUCAAACAAAUUUGUUUUACAGAGUUUUUUUAGUUCUAUUGAAUUUCCCAUGAGAGUUUUGUAUACCGGUACCAUUGUGUCUCUUCAUGAAUGCGGUCCUGCUGGGCAAGCCUGAGAAGCCCUUGUACUAAUAGUUUGUGUAUCUGAGCAGUUUCUUCCUUUCAACUGCGAUGAUGUGUGCAAUUUCAUCUUGAUUGUAAAGUAGAGUUUCCUUUCUACUUGAGGUUAGAUCGAGGUCAGUAGGCAUCAGGAGGAUUACAUAGCCCAGUAUCCUCCCUUGCCACAUAAUUUUGCAAGCUAUUGGUGACCAUGAAUUUUUACGGGUUCUGUAUGCUAAACAAUGCUCUCUGUUUAAUGCAAGAUAUUUUG
rnacentral:lncRNA from 1 species